rnacentral:lncRNA from 1 species
GGGGAAGUGUCGGGCUUUAGCUUGGAGCAGGGCCAAUUUAUGUUCCGCUUUAUGAAGGCUGGGGAGAGGGACUUAAUCCUCAGCUAACCAUAGGUGGUCGCCGGCCAAGCACUGGCAGUGGAGCCUUGACAACUUCGAUUCUUCCUAUUAAAGGGAGCCAUCCAUUUGGCCCUAGUCUGGGUCUGACUGGCAUGGCUCCCG